CCCCUAGACGUUCUGGGCUGCACGCGCGCUACAAUAAUACGCACAGCGAGUAUCACCGAGCUCGAAAGGGCAAGGUAAACAAUAGAAAAGGUACUGUAAUGGUUAUAGAUCCUUGUAAUUAUUGAUCUUCAACGAGGAAUUCCUAGUAAGUAUGUGUCAUCAUCACGCACUGAUUACGUCCCUGCCCUUUGUACACACCGCCCGUCGCUCCUACCGAUUGGGUGAGCCGAUGAAACUCUCGGAUGUAGGCUAUUCAUAGCCUGCAGAAGAGAUUUGAAUCGUAGCGCUUAGAGGAAGGAGAAGUCGUAACA
rnacentral:rRNA from 1 species